GAUGAACGCUGGCGGCGUGCCUAAUACAUGCAAGUCGAGCGAACGGACGAGAAGCUUGCUUCUCUGAUGUUAGCGGCGGACGGGUGAGUAACACGUGGAUAACCUACCUAUAAGACUGGGAUAACUUCGGGAAACCGAAGCUAAUACCGGAUAAUAUUUUGAACCGCAUGGUUCAAAAGUGAAAGACGGUCUUGCUGUCACUUAUAGAUGGAUCCGCGCUGCAUUAGCUAGUUGGUAAGGUAACGGCUUACCAAGGCAACGAUGCAUAGCCGACCUGAGAGGGUGAUCGGCCACACUGGAACUGAGACACGGUCCAGACUCCUACGGGAGGCAGCAGUAGGGAAUCUUCCGCAAUGGGCGAGAGCCUGACGGAGCAACGCCGCGUGAGUGAUGAAGGUCUUCGGAUCGUAAAACUCUGUUAUUAGGGAAGAACAUAUGUGUAAGUAACUGUGCACAUCUUGACGGUACCUAAUCAGAAAGCCACGGCUAACUACGUG
rnacentral:rRNA from 1 species